UAUCUGGCGAUUAGAUUAUUGGCAGGGUAUUCAUGUUUUUCCGGAAGGAAGCCAUUUUUUUUACGUUCGAGCGGUUUUUGGUGGAGAAAACCUAAGCAUCCCAUCUUCAACGAUGGUUCCUCUACAAAGCGGGUAUUUUUCCUAUAAAACUGGGCUUUGAACCCAGUAUCUUUCUGCUUUACAUAUUUCCUUCUUUGCAGUCUCCCUGUGAAUCGACUGGACUGCCCUCAAUUUGAGCAAUCUGAAGAUAGAAAAGGUUGACAAAUUUCCUUGAUAUCUUUCCAUUGAAAGAGUCUUGUUGAACAAGGUGGCAAGGGUUUUAGUUCUUUGAAAAGUACUGCUCCUGGACCCCUACCCCUCCAACAGUUGAUGUUACCAGUUGUAUGUUUUGAAGAUGCUUGUGCUCUAUCUGGAUAUCUCCUCAAAAAUUGAAGAUUUGAA